rnacentral:lncRNA from 1 species
AUACUCUCCAGUGACAAUGUGUCUUUCUCAGGAUGCACCCGUAUUAAGGAGCACAUGGCUACACUAUGCAUCUCACUUCUCUAUUCGUAGCAUGCUAACAGUACGCUCUCCCAUCAGAGCAGGAACUUUGAGCUGUUCUUAUUCUCCAAAUGGAAUACUGCUGUGUUCCUAGAGCAGAGCCUGACCUGGGCCCGUUCUGAUGCUGUAAUGAAGGCUUUCUGAAGGAACACAGUCAGGAAUCAACACGCCAUGUUCAAACCCAGUGCUAAAUUUCUGAACUCCCUGAGGCCUCUCAGCUGACCUCCAAUGAACAACUCAGCACAGGUGUGUUUUUGUGUUGUUUUGUUUCCUUUCGGCCUCAAAUGUCCAAUGUCUGAGAGGCUCUUUGCAGAUCCAAACCACCUCCACUGACCAACUGAGUAUCGCUUCCCGUUUGUACAUAAGUAAAAUUUCCUUGGAGAUUGCCCAUUUUAACUGGAUCCCAAAUCUGCAGGUGAAGGUUUGAUGAUAAGGUUCCAGAUUAUUUGGACCAUGGGGCCAAUAAAAUGACUUAAGGCUAGGGAAGAGGGCAUGUCUGAAACCUCGAGACCCCACCUGUGAUCCAUCACAGUACUGCCUCGGGGCUACACCUAUC